CGAGACAACAAUGCAAGAAACUACACCUAAGCAAGACAGUUAAGCAAAAUUAGGCCGUGAGGCUGGCUGGAUUGGUGAACCAUGAAAAGAACCCUGAAAAGGCAGUGAAAUAGAAGUAUAAC
rnacentral:rRNA from 13 species